rnacentral:rRNA from 1 species
AAUCUUGUACAAUGGGGGCAACCCUGUUCCAGCCAUCGCGCGUGCGCGAUGAAGGCCUUCGGGUUGUAAAGCACUUUUGGCAGGGCAGAAAAGGCUCUGGCUAAUACCUGGAGCUGCUGACGCUACCUGCAGAACAACCAUCGGGUAACUACGUGCCAGCAGACGCGGUAAUACGUAGGGUGCAAGCGUUAAUCGGAAUUACUGGGCGUAAAGCGUGCGCAGGCGGUUCGGCAAGAAGGAGGUGAAAUCCAAGGGCUUAACCUUGGAGCUGCAUUCUUAACUGCCGGGCUAGAGUAUGUCAGAGGGGGGUAGAAUUCCGCGUGUAGCAGUGAAAUGCGUAGAGAUGCGGAGGAAUACCGAUGGAGAAGGCAGCCCCCUGGGAUAAUACUGACGCUCAUGCACGAAAGCGUGGGGAGCAAGC